rnacentral:rRNA from 1 species
UUGGCCUACGGGGCGCAGCAGUGGGGGAUAUUGCACAAUGGGGGGAACCCUGAUGCAGCGACGCCGCGUGGGUGAAGGAGCGUUUCGGCGCGUAAAGCUCUAUCAGCAGGGAAGAAAAUGACGGUACCUGAGUAAGAAGCCCCGGCUAACUACGUGCCAGCAGCCGCGGUAAUACGUAGGGGGCAAGCGUUAUCCGGAUUUACUGGGUGUAAAGGGAGCGUAGACGGUGCGCCAAGUCUGGAGUGAAAUGCCGCAGCUUAACUGCGGAACUGCUUUGGAAACUGGCGAACUAGAGUGCGGGAGGG